CGUUCGUUACAUUCUCAGAAAUGUGUCUUUGACACACUACUUAAUCCGACUACAACCCUGAUUGACAAAUGUCAACACUCGCCACUCAACCAAAGGUUCUCAGAGGAUUCCUCCCAUUUUACCUCCUACUCCCAUUUGUACGCAGCCACACUUCUCUCGCGGGAGGUGUCCAUGGGCGUCGGAUGAACACUCCUUUGUUAAUGCGAGGAAGUGUUAUCACCCAAUGAACGUCGCACCCGUCCAAUAAAGUUUCUGACGUUUUUGUUAGUGCGACGGCCGGAUGAAUUUGUAGAGCUUGCUUUGAUAUUGGCCUAGCCCACGAAGGGUCUUUCCGUUCGUGAACGUCUUAGAGGCAUGAAGUGCGCGCCGUGUGUAAAAAUCUAAAGUUAAAAGCGAAAACAAAAGAGACGUUCACAAGUUAAAAUCUAUCACGAAAUCGAUAAUUAACGGAAAGUUAAAAGUGAUUUAAAAAGCUGUAACGGAAAGUACUAAACCUAUCGUUAAAAGUGCUUAAAACCAAAAAGUAUACGGACAUUCAAUUGUUCUGUAAAAUCAAAGCAACAAAUCGAAAAACGUUACAACAACAGAAACAUCAAAAACAUAUUAAAACCAGUUUGUAAAGAAAAAGGUAAAAGUUCUAAAAAUGUAUAUAUUUAUAUAAUGUGAAAAAUUAUUGUAAACAUGCGGUUACAUAUAUGACGUCACAGAGUAGUAACUCCUCUGCUUAGGUCCAAAGGGCCUUUUUCUUUUGUUUCUCCGUUCAAGCUCCUGAUCGCCCUCAUUGGGUAGCGAGUGUGGCCAAAAGCAAACAGCCAUCACAAGGAUUAACGACCAGAAUAUCCUAAGGAGGACUUAACCUCAAUUCAGUCCAUAACCAUCGUGCGGAACAUCGCUUGUGUCAGCCAGAUUUGGACACUGUUUCGGGACGCCGAAACAUGUACAAAUCCGCCGAGGUUGCUGCCCCUCUGAGAAAAAAAUGCGAGAAAUUCGGAGCAUUGAAAAGUUUAUACCCAUAACAACAAAACCGCAAGUAUUCAUAAUAAUAGAGUGACGUCUCGUAUUUAGGCCUGUUAAACUAAUAAAUAAGCUCAUCAUGAUUUGUAACACGUUA